AUGAAACUAAAGGGAUUUGUGCUUGCUGAGUAAGAGCUUCUACAAGGAUUCCCCAGGAUCAACCAUCUGAGCAGAUACCUUGGAAUGUCCCCAGAUUUCAGAGACCUUCCUUUCAGCCUCGGACCAGCAGCAACACACUCUGAAGUAGGUCUCAGAAGACAAAAAGCUGAAAUCAACUCAUGCUUCCUGCUACACAGAAUCCACUGAGAGGAAAAGGAAACUUCACCGAAACUUCAGAAAGCUACAGAAAUGACAUCCAUUUUCACAAUCCCAGAAGGAAAGAUGCAUCUGAAGGGAAUAAAAACAGAGCAAUGGAAGAGUAUUUGUUAAAAUAAAUGGCUUUGACAGGGCAU
rnacentral:lncRNA from 1 species